UCAGGAUGAACGCUAGCGACAGGCCUAACACAUGCAAGUCAGGGGCAGCACAAGGAGCAAUCUGAGGUGGCGACCGGCGCACGGGUGAGUAACACGUAUGCAACCUGCCUGUAAGCGGGGAAUAACCCGUUGAAAGACGGACUAAUACCGCAUAAUACUAAAUUACUGCAUGGUAAUUUAUUUAAACAUUUAUGGCUUACAGAUGGGCAUGCGCAUGAUUAGCUAGUUGGAGAGGUAACGGCUCCCCAAGGCAACGAUCAUUAGGGGUUCUGAGAGGAAGGUCCCCCACACUGGUACUGAGACACGGACCAGACUCCUACGGGAGGCAGCAGUGAGGAAUAUUGGUCAAUGGACGAGAGUCUGAACCAGCCAAGUCGCGUGCAGGAAGAAAUGUCCUAUGGAUUGUAAACUGCUUUUGCAGGGGAAUAAAGUGAGCCACGUGUGGUUUUUUGUAUGUACUCUGCGAAUAAGGAUCGGCUAACUCCGUGCCAGCAGCCGC
rnacentral:rRNA from 1 species